CCACCUGCCCAACAGCAGCAGCUUCCCAAGGCAUCCCCUUCCCCAGACCACCUUUGGUAUCCACACCCUGUGUGUGUGCUGGGGAGCUUGGAUAUUCUCAGCCAGACCUGGGCUGGUUUUGCAAGGGGUGUGUGUGUAUUUGCAUCUCAGGUGUUAAACACUGCAAACACGCUGAAAUGCUCUGUGACCCCUUCUUGUGAGCCUUGUAAUCAGCAUCUAUUUGCAUGUAGCACUCACUUCUGGGGUCAUGCUAAUGACAGGUUCAACAGCAGCCCUUGCAGGGAGUUAAAAAUAGUCAGGAGUGGUGAGAGCAGAAGGAAAAAAAUCCUUUUGUAUGUGAGUGGCACGAGCACACGAGCCUCUCUCAGUUCCCUCAUGCAAAAGGCAGCUAAGCCUGGUGCUUUUUCCACUGAUGUGGGUAGGGAGGGCUGUCAGGUUGAAAUAGUGUUUUUGUGUUUUUAAGGGUAUUUUUAUCAUACAAACCAAGAAUAAUUUACUGGAGAGAGGAUUUAGCAGGCAGAACACCUGCAGAGCAUUUUGAGGCUGACUGGAAGUGAGAAAGUCAUCCCUGGUUGGGUGUAUGAGUGAAAUUUCAGCUGUGUGCACAUGCAGGAGCCCCGGAAGCGGGUGGAUGGCCAGCUGCUCCCAGCUGCACACUGAACCUGUGAUGGAUUUAAGGUUUGCACCCUCCCAGCACCAAAGAGAUCAUUAACCAAGGAAUCCUUCCAGGCUUGUGUUCUGCUUCCCUCUUCCAGGAGCGUCUUAUUCCAGUUGAUUUCUCACCACAAGCAGGAAGUUCAGCUCUACCCCCACAUCCUCCAAGAAGCUGAACAUCGCCCUUUGCUUUGGCUCUGCUUUUAGCAUUGCUUUCUGUGAAUGCAUACAUUAAUCUAUCCACGCAGAUGCAUCAAAAGGUAAAGGAGUGCUGGUCCUCAUGUGGCUACGUAAAUAUAUGGUAUUAAGUGUCUUAUAAUACACCCCAAUUAAAAAGCAGUCUUUACGGCCGUAAUAGUUUUAUUGAGAACUGUAACACGUUAGGCUUACAGAUAGAUAAAGCAGUUAGUUUUAUAAAGCAUAUAGGAUAUUAAAGUAAUGAAAGACAUUAACGUGACAUCAAUUUUUAAGGAGAGUUACUUGCUGAAAUAAAUGAGGGUAGCCUAAAAGUUGAUGGCAUGUUACAGUUCUGAGUAAUGAACCCCUCUGCCCCCUAAAACCUCUUGGAAUAAAUAAUGCUUGAGCAAGUCUAUGGUCAUUAACUCUUUAUCCUCUGAGAGCUACUCAUCACACUGAUGUCUCAUCCCAUUCUUUAACAUUGAAAAAUACCUUCAGAAAUGAGUUCUCUUUCCCGAGACAGCUGUAACUUGUGAUGCUUUAUUCCAGAAUGCCUGCUUUACUAACAUCUCCCCCUUGUCCAGUGAUGCCGGAUACACAGAAUUCAGGAGGAAGUUGGUGUUUCUCUUUUCCUUCAUCUUCUUAUUUCUUUUUCCCUCUCGCAGCUUUCUCUCUCUGUGCUGCUGCUUUGAUUCGUGCUCGGCCCAGUGGUGUCUUGGUAUACCAAGCCUGGAGAACCAGAAAACACAGGUAUGUUGUAAUAACAUGUAAGUGGAGGAAAAAAAAAAAAAAAAAGGACAGUUAAGAGACCUUUUACUGCUACAAUGGAGCACUCCUUACACAAGUCUUAAAAACCCUGGCUGGUUUGUGGAGCAGCAGAAAUAAAACCCUUAGAUCUCUUGAGGACACUAUUAUAACAAGAAGUACAGCAAUUGCCUGCUUGAAGCGUGUCUCAUUAACAGGAAUACUUAGCCGGGCCAUUUUUGUGUUGCUAUAGUUAUGGAAAUGUUAGAACUUCUCCGAUCAACCCUAUUUCCAAGGCGUAUAGCUCUUGUCAAAACCCUUUCUGGCCUGAAACUUGGCAGCGGACAAAGCAUAUGCUUCUCAUGGUUCUACAAAUCGACACAGACAGUUUUUAUUUCAAUGAGAGAGCUUAAGAAACCAAACAAACCCCGAACAUUAAAAACCUGUUUAUUGCUUUCAGAUGCCUGUUCACAGUCCUGUGACUUGUAAAUGGUUUUGGUGCAGUCGCUCCGCAUGCUUGCCAAGCUCCUGGGCUGUAAUGUCAACAAGGCCACGUUAAAUAUAAUGUAAAAUGAAAGAGAGGGCAGUGCUUUAAAAUUAGUACUGUGUGGGAAUUAGUCAAUCCCCAUAUGUACACACAGAACUUUAUCAGCAAGGCCUGCCCACAGCAGAGAUUAACAUGCCACUAGGUGCUGACAUGAUUGAUAAAACACAUUCGUUCCCCUUUGGCUGUACUCGUCUAUACGCUGUUGCUUGAAAUGGAAGUCUCCUUUGGCCACAAACCACUGUUUAAUGCCACCACUCUGUUUCUUAUGGUGCACGAUGGAUAUUGGGAACAAUUUAUUCUUGUAAAAAGCUGUGCUGCAGUGGCAGGGCUGCCCUUGGAGGUGUUGGGUUCACCAUCCCUGGAGGUAACUGUGGAGGUGUGGCACUGAGGGUUGUGGGCAUGGUGGGGUGGCCUGGGAUUGGACUUGAGGAUUGGAGAGGACUUUUCCAACCAGAAUGGAUCUGUGAUUCUAUGAAUCUGUGUUUUCAAAUGCAGCAAGCUACCUGCUAAUGGGCGUGCAAUGCUGUCUGCUUUGACUCUUUGGUUAGCAGGACAGUUACCUGGGCUUAAUGAUGCCAGCUCCUCAGACAUGCCUAAAGGAAAAGAUUUAUCACUAUAACCCACCAGCACCUGAGCUGAGGAUGUAAGUGAUGGGCAGCAUGUGACAGAUCAGAGUUAAAAACCUUCAGGAAUGACAUCUGCAGCUCUUUGGUAAGGGUUUUCCUACCUCUUACAUGUGUUUCAUAUCAGCCACUGCCAGGCAGAGCUGGAGUGCUGGCUGAGCACCCGUUGCUCUGUAGGAUUCCCGUUAUUUCUGUGCAAGGAUUUGUAUCAAUUCCACUGGCGCGAUAAUUUUUUGUUUCAGAAAUGUGGCGGAUGGAUAAUUGGGCCAGAAAUUUGAGUAAAUUGGACAAAGAAAUCACGUUAUCACAAAAUUUUUGCAUUAUUUAUAUUCAUUUUGGAACGCUGGCGGAAUAUAAAUGUCAAACAGGGAGAUUCAUGUUUCCAGUGAAUAGGAAUCAAAGAUUCAUCACAGCGCUAAUCUUCACUUUGAAUGCUUGCUUUAAGUUUUAGCCACCCCACUUCAAAAGGGAUAAAGCAAAGCAACAGAAGAGGUCCAGCAAUGGUGAUGAUUAGAGGCUCAGGAAAAAGGUCCUUCUGUGUGCGGGGAGAUGAAGAUACUGAGUUAAUUGAUGCACGAGGCCAUUUUGACAGUCCUCUUCCCCAGUGCCAUAUUACAGGUGCUGGGGCCGGGUUCUGUGACAUUUAAAAGGAAACAAAUUUAACACAGAUAAAAGGAAACACUUUCUUAAGGGCUGUAAUUAACACAAGGAAACGAUGGCUGUGGGAUGCUGAGAGCGACAGUAGUGGUGUUCAAAAUGAAGUGCUGCCUGCAUGCUCCUUGCUGUAUAAAACGGGCACAUUUGUAGUAAGUGGAACAGCAUUUGUGAGUUAAACUUGUGCUAAAUGCCAGCUCUCGUGUUUCAGGACACAAAUGGAUUACAACUCGGAGCUGGGAAUGAUAUGAGCUUAUUUCUGUGCUGUAACACUGAACCAUUAGCCUCUCCCUGAGGAAAGAUAUUGGUUUAGAUAGGAAGCACGAGGAAAACAAGAGUAAUUUGCCAAAUAUCACAAAUGCUGCCUAUGCUGAGUGAGCCAAAUGGCUCAAGGUGGAAAUUGGAGAGCAUUCAGUAGGGCUGGGAGAAAUAUCCUCUAUCAUUAGGUUAGCAGUGGAAGUUGGUUUGGACCAAGCUGCUAGAGACUGCAUCCUAUUUGCCUGCAAGGCGUUAUGGGGAUGCAGAGCCAAGGGAUGUGCAAAGAGCAGAAUGGAAAGGAAACCUCUUGGUGGGAGACCUCCAUGGUCUGCAAGCACGUCCAUGGAAUCAUUGAAUCAUAGAGCCAUUGAGGUUGGAAAAGACCUUCUAGAUCACCUGUAGCCCAGCCCCAGCCCACCCCCUCCAUGCCUGCUGACCGCCUCUUUGCAGCAUGAUCCAUGGGACUUAUAAUUUGAUCCUAAAACACUCCAGGUAGAAUGUGCCCAGACAAGGGGGGAUGAGGAGAGACAACCAGUUAGCACAGCUCCUAACAUCACCUUAAAUGUUUCCUCCUCCUCAAUGUACACGGGUUCCAGGCUGGCCAGCGGGGUGAGGAACUCAUCAGUGCGCAGGGGCUUCCUGGCCAUCUGCAGGAGGCGCAGCUCGCUCAGCACUGCCUGCACCGCCUGCACAAUGCGGCCCUGGGUGAAGCCAUCGGACAGCUUGGCCAGGCAGCUGAUGUUCAGCAGCUUGGUGAUCUCUCCACCGUGCUGCGUGAUGAUGUGCUUCCAUAACACUGUUCAGCAGAGUCCAGAAUAGAAAGAGAGAGAAUACCAAAGACACAUGUUAAGGAAAGCAGGAGAAAUAAUUCUGCAUUAUGGGCGUACAAUGUAAAAAUGGAAAGGGAUACUUAUAUAAGCCUGUGAGAAUGUGUGGAAAGGAAACUUGUCUGGUAUUUUCCCAUUUGGACGUGCACCUCUGUUAAAAGCCUGGCUUUACUUGGGUGACAUGAUGGGUCACCUUAAGGUUAGGGUUAGGGUUCCUCCAUGAGCAGAGUGCUGCCAUGGGGGCUUGAAGUCUGGUUUUGAAGCCCAGUGCCUCUGGCUAUGCAGGCACAUGUUGUAUGUGGGUGUAAAUGUCUCUGUGAUUGGCAUUUUGCUUCUUGAAUGAUGGCAGAACUGUUUGUUUCUUGUAGCUGCCAACUGCUCAGUCCAGUGAUAUCUGAAUUGCCUGAGAUUUUGCUUACAAAAAUGAAGUAAUCAGAGCAAUAAGUUGUUGUUGUUGACUUGUGAUUUGUAAUCAAAUGGGCUAUCUUGGAAAGGCUGGGUGGGAAGUUGGUAUUAUCAACCUAACGGUUUCCACUGCAUGUUUGCCACCAUGCACAGAUUGGAGUUCUCUAGUUUGUAGAAAAAGGAAGGUUGUAGUGAACAUGUAAAGUCUGUGCGCUGUGGCAGUGUGUGGUUAUUAUGCCAUGGCCAAGAAAGAUUUCUUCAGUUCCCAGAUUGGCUGUCAGGCAAUGGAAAUUGGCAUUGUGGAAAUGCCCUUCUUUACACUGAAUGCCAGGGAAGCUGUGAGCUGAAGUACAAGCCAGGCACUGCCUUUUAAUUCUUUGACUUUGUCCCAUUUAAACUAGAAGUUCAGUCUCCUUUAACAUGCUUAGAGUUAACUUUUUUGGGCAUUCUGAUGUUUGCAAGCUGAAAUCCCUUCGUCCGGCCCUUCUGACUCCAAAUUAGUGGUGAGAAUCCCAGAAUGUGACAGGUUCAGUCCCCAGGAGUGAAUGUAGCUAAAUUCAGCUGCUAUCACCUCCUUUUUCUAGGUCUUAUUCAAGUCCCUUAUCUGUUAGCAAUUAAUCAGAGCUGUAACCUAACAUGAAACACAUGUUAGCCUGCUUAAGGACCGUUUCCCAUCCACGCCGAAAAUUAUUGAAUGUGGGAGAGAUUUACAACGUGCUAGGCAGUCAAAAUCUGUCUUGAGCUUUCCCAUACAUGCAUCAUCUCAGUACCUUGGCUGCCUCCUUGAAAGGCAGUGCAGAAAUGGACUUCAAACCCAGUUGCAUCAUUUUGUAACGAGAUGAAGAUGUGGAGCAAUAUUGUCUGGUUUACUCAGAGCACAAUUGUGAAGUGAGGUCUCUGGACUGAAUGUGGUUUCUUUUCAUUCUGUAUUCUUUUGGGAUAUGAUCCCACCAGAGAUCAGUGGCAUGAAAGGAGUCUGUUCUCCUUGAUGUGGUGAUCAAUAGGGAUAUUCAUGCUAGGAACUUCUGGUGGGAGAAAAACGCACCAUUGAGAGUCCUGGCUUAGAACUGUUUGGUAUCACUGUGAAUAGUCCUAAAUCUUUCUUCCACAUCAUCUUUAGAUUGAACCUCAACAGCCCUUCUACUUAUGAGUCACCACAUCCAGACUACGUAGUAACCAGAAAAGCGUAUAAAACCACAUGAUACCAUCAGGAGAAAAUGAUACCUGUGGGAACAAAAGCCCAUCUACCAGCCACUUCUGAGGGAUGUGAACAAACUACCAUUUUUCUUGCAGUAAUUCACAUUAUUAAGUGCAAUAUGGAACCAGACAUAGUCCUAUUCAUGGAGAGGCCCAUUGUUUAGAAUGCGGAGAUGAGAUACGAGUGAUGGAAAUUCAUGUUCCCUGUGUAAAAUGAAAGCUUUACAAAUGUGCCUUGAAAUGGAACCCUAUCUAUCACUCAAUAACAGCGUGGGUUGUACUCAGUGUGCUCCAAACAAGUUUGUGGAAAGCCAGUUCUGAGGAUGAGCAGGCAAUAAGCAUGGAUGCUGAGCAGCAAACUUGAGAUACUUGCCAAAUCUAGAAGCAUAGUCAGGCCGAGGGAUCAGGAUGAUUUUUUGGUAAACUUUGCAGAAAGGUUUGAUCUUAGCAUCAAAGGGCCGGCUGCUGGUCCCCACUAGCAGCACUCUGUCCUCUGCUCUCAAAGCCUUCAGGAGUUUGGGGAGCAUCUUUUCCAGACGUUUCGGAUUAAUCUUCAGAGCGCGCAUGUGAAUACAAGGAGGAAAGAGCUGUUAUCGGUACUGACAAUUUAGAGUUAAUGAGGUGAAGUAACAACUGUAGAUAUGAAUAAUGUAGGGAUGUGUGUUAUACAUAGACAUGCUAUAUGCAAUGGGAUUUGGGUUUUUUUUCCACUAGUUUCUUUGCAUUUAGUACAAACAGACUAGAUGCUCAACUUAAGUAGGAAACCUUUGUCUUCUUGCAAACUGAUUUCUGCCCAGGGAUUUGUGGGUUUCAGUGCUAGUGUCUUUUAUAAGUGCUUUUGCUGGCUCACUUCUGUAAAGCAGUAAGGAGAAAACAACUCGUUUAAAGUAGGAAAUCCUCAUUUUUUUUUAGUCCAAGAAAUACUGCUUUGGACCUGUACACUUGGUGAUCCCUAAUGGAUAGAAAGAACACAUAGGUGCAUAACAUGGCCUGCAAUUCUCAUAGUUCACAGAGGUUGUCAUCUACCAACCCCUACUGGUGUUUUCAAUAUGAAAAACACGCCCCCUGAUUUCUUCUUUGAUUUUACCUUGCUGAGAAUCUCAGCUCUUUGAACUCAGGACUCAGAUCUUCGUGACAAUUGCUGUUUGACCUUAUUAUAACUAUUCAACUCUUAUCUGCAGAACAGAUGACUGCUGAGCAAAACUUUUCACUGGCUACUGAAGUUUGAUGAGGGUCAAGUGGCAAUCGGUUGGAAGAAGCUUCAUCAAAUUGCUGUGGUGUUACUCCACAGAUGAAUAUUUGGGUUAGUGGUCUACUAUUAGAUAUGAAGGUUGGUGGCCCUGCAUGCAGCAGGGGGUUUGGAGCUUGAUGAUCCUUGAGGUCCCUUCCAACCCAAGCUUUUCUAUGGUUCUGUGUAUUCAAAAAAGUCUGACUUAAAAGCCUCUCCAGAAAUAACUGAGGCUUAACACCCCAGUCAAUCACACUCAGUGGAGAACCUUACUCCAGGUGUGU